UACAGGGGGUGCAAACGUUGCUCGGAAUCAUUGGGCGUAAAGCGCACGUAGGCGGUUCGUUAUGUCGGAUGUGAAAGCCCUUGGCUUAACCGAGGAAGUGCAUCCGAAACUGGCGAGCUAGAGUACUAAAGAGGAUCGCGGAAUUCCCGGUGUAGAGGUGAAAUUCGUAGAUAUCGGGAGGAACACCGGUGGCGAAGGCGGCGCGCUGGAUCCCUACUGACGCUGAGGCACGAAAGCCAGGGGAGCAAACGGG
rnacentral:rRNA from 1 species